GCCGGGGUGGCCGAGUGGAUUAAGGCGCAGGCCUUGAGAGCCUGUGGCCCCUUACGGGCCGCAUGGGUUCGAAUCCCAUCCCCGGCGCCA
rnacentral:tRNA from 1 species